rnacentral:rRNA from 1 species
AUUGAACGCUGGCGGCAGGCUUAACACAUGCAAGUCGAGCGAGCGGCGGAUGGGUGAGUAAGGUCUGGGACACUGCCUGAGGGAGGGGGUUAACUACUGGAAACGGUAGCUAAUACCGCAUACCAUCAGAUGUGCCCAGAUGGGAUUAGCUAGGUGGUGGGGUAAUGGCGCACCUAGGCGACGAUCCCUAGCUGGUCUGAGAGGAUGACCAGCCACACUGGAACUGAGACACGGUCCAGACUCCUACGGGAGGCAGCAGUGGGGAAUAUUGCACAAUGGGCGCAAGCCUGAUGCAGCCAUGCCGCGUGUGUGAAGAAGGCCUUCGGGUUGUAAAGCACUUUCAGCGAGGAGGCGUUACUCGCAGAAUAAGCACCGGCUAACUCCGUGCCAGCAGCCGCGGUAAUUC